rnacentral:rRNA from 1 species
CCUACGGGGGGCUGCAGUGGGGAAUUUUGGACAAUGGGCGCAAGCCUGAUCCAGCCAUGCCGCGUGCAGGAAGAAGGCCUUCGGGUUGUAAACUGCUUUUGUCAGGGAAGAAAUCCUUUGGGUUAAUACCUCGAAGGGAUGACGGUACCUGAAGAAUAAGCACCGGCUAACUACGUGCCAGCAGCCGCGGUAAUACGUAGGGUGCGAGCGUUAAUCGGAAUUACUGGGCGUAAAGCGUGCGCAGGCGGCUUUGCAAGACAGAUGUGAAAUCCCCG